rnacentral:lncRNA from 12 species
GGGGUUGGAUGGAGGAGGGGCUCGGGGUGUGGGCUUUGAAUUGACUGGUGUGUGUAGGAUAAGGCAUGCUUGAAGGCCAGUCAUUUACUGUCUCUACGAAUUAGCUAGCCCUGGGAGAUGCAAUCUCUCCGGGAUUGGCGAGGCCCUGAGAUGUUAAAGCAUCGUAAAGUUCUGAAAGUGAAAAUAUGAUUAAUGCAUAAGCCUGAACGUGAACUCCAGCAGACCAAUUGUGUGUAUCCCACGGACCCUGCCUCCUUUCAUAGAGUUCUGGAUGAAUUUCACUUGGCCUUGGAAUUUUAUUUGUCUUUGGAAGUCAUGGACUUGAUGAUGUUUGGAAAUUUAUGACUAUAUAAGAACAGAUCUGUAAGGUCUUGAUCUUACGG